UCUAAUAUCUAAUUUCUUUGAGACAAAUCACCAAAUACAUUGCAGGCAUAAAUAAACAAAGACAAAGAACCAAGAUUUACAUGGUUCGGCACAAAAGACCUACAUCCACGGGGAGGAGGAGCAAUCCACUAUAUAUCCGUCCCGAAAUUUAGGUACAAUAUGAGGUAUAAAAUACCUUUUUUCGAAAUCAACAAGAAGGCAACAAAAUAUCGAAUAGAAGGAAACCAAGAUCCAAUAGGAUCAACCAAUCUCAGCCUCGACAAUAGAUCAAGAUAAAACAAUACUGAGAUGAAGAUACCUUCCUCAACCCUCGGCAAAAAAUCAAGAUGAUACCUCCUUACCAGCUGUAGCAGC
rnacentral:lncRNA from 1 species